AGCAGCCGCGGUAAUUCCAGCUCCAAUAGCGUAUAUUAAAGUUGUUGCAGUUAAAAAGCUCGUAGUUGAAUUUCGGGGUUAGCAGGUCGGUCGUGCCAUCGGUAUGAACUGGUCUCGCUGAUCCCUCCCUCUUGACGAACUGUGAUGCCAUUAAUUUGGUGUCGCAGGGAAUCAGGACUGUUACUUUGAAAAAUUAGAGUGUUUAAAGCAGGCUCACGCUUGAAUACAUUAGCAUGGAAUAAUGAAAUAGGACGUUUGAUCCUAUUUUGUUGGCUUCUAGGAUUGACGUAAUGAUUAAUAGGGAUAGUUGGGGCAUUAGUAUUCAAUUGUCAGAGGUGAAAUUCUUGGAUUUAUUGAAGACUAACUAC
rnacentral:rRNA from 1 species